rnacentral:rRNA from 1 species
UGCAAGUCGAGCGAACGGACGAGAAGCUUGCUUCUCUGAUGUUAGCGGCGGACGGGUGAGUAACACGUGGAUAACCUACCUAUAAGACUGGGAUAACUUCGGGAAACCGGAGCUAAUACCGGAUAAUAUUUUGAACCGCAUGGUUCAAAAGUGAAAGACGGUCUUGCUGUCACUUAUAGAUGGAUCCGCGCUGCAUUAGCUAGUUGGUAAGGUAACGGCUUACCAAGGCAACGAUGCAUAGCCGACCUGAGAGGGUGAUCGGCCACACUGGAACUGAGACACGGUCCAGACUCCUACGGGAGGCAGCAGUAGGGAAUCUUCCGCAAUGGGCGAAAGCCUGACGGAGCAACGCCGCGUGAGUGAUGAAGGUCUUCGGAUCGUAAAACUCUGUUAUUAGGGAAGAACAUAUGUGUAAGUAACUGUGCACAUCUUGACGGUACCUAAUCAGAAAGCCACGGCUAACUACGUGCCAGCAGCCGCGGUAAUACGUAGGUGGCAAGCGUUAUCCGGAAUUAUUGGGCGUAAAGCGCGCGUAGGCGGUUUUUUAAGUCUGAUGUGAAAGCCCACGGCUCAACCGUGGAGGGUCAUUGGAAACUGGAAAACUUGAGUGCAGAAGAGGAAAGUGGAAUUCCAUGUGUAGCGGUGAAAUGCGCAGAGAUAUGGAGGAACACCAGUGGCGAAGGCGACUUUCUGGUCUGUAACUGACGCUGAUGUGCGAAAGCGUGGGGAUCAAACAGGAUUAGAUACCCUGGUAGUCCACGCCGUAAACGAUGAGUGCUAAGUGUUAGGGGGUUUCCGCCCCUUAGUGCUGCAGCUAACGCAUUAAGCACUCCGCCUGGGGAGUACGACCGCAAGGUUGAAACUCAAAGGAAUUGACGGGGACCCGCACAAGCGGUGGAGCAUGUGGUUUAAUUCGAAGCAACGCGAAGAACCUUACCAAAUCUUGACAUCCUUUGACAACUCUAGAGAUAGAGCCUUCCCCUUCGGGGGACAAAGUGACAGGUGGUGCAUGGUUGUCGUCAGCUCGUGUCGUGAGAUGUUGGGUUAAGUCCCGCAACGAGCGCAACCCUUAAGCUUAGUUGCCAUCAUUAAGUUGGGCACUCUA